CAGCCGCCGCGGUAAUACGUAGGUGGCGAGCGUUGUCUGGAAUUAUUGGGCGUAAAGGGAGCGCAGGCGGGCGAGUAAGUCUUUCUUAAAAGUGCGGGGCUCAACCCCGUGAGGGGAGAGAAACUACUCAUCUUGAGUGCAGGAGAGGAAAGCGGAAUUCCUAGUGUAGCGGUGAAAUGCGUAGAUAUUAGGAAGAACACCAGUGGCGAAGGCGGCUUUCUGGACUGUAACUGACGCUGAGGCUCGAAAGCCAGGGGAGCGAACGGGAUUAGAUACCCCAGUAGUCCCUGUCUCUUAUACA
rnacentral:rRNA from 1 species